rnacentral:rRNA from 1 species
UACGGGGGGAGCAAGCGUUGUUCGGAUUUACUGGGCGUAAAGGGCGCGUAGGCGGCCACCGCAAGUCGACUGUGAAAUCUCCGGGCUUAACCCGGAAAGGUCAGCCGAUACUGCGGGGCUAGAGUGCAGAAGGGGCAACUGGAAUUCUCGGUGUAGCGGUGAAAUGCGUAGAUAUCGAGAGGAACACCUGCGGCGAAGGCGGGUCUCUGGGCCGAUACUGACGCUGAGGAGCGAAAGCGUGGGGAGCGAACAGG